UACGUAGGCAGCGAGCGUUGUUCGGAGUUACUGGGCGUAAAGGGUGCGUAGGCGGUUGUUUAAGUUUGGUGUGAAAUCUCCCGGCUUAACUGGGAGGGUGCGCUAUAGACUGCGGGGCUCGAGUGUGGGAGAGGAAAGUGGAAUUCCUGGUGUAGCGGUGAAAUGCGUAGAUAUCAGGAGGAACACCGGUGGUGUAAACGGCUUUCUGGACCAUAACUGACGCUGAGGCACGAAAGCGUGGGUAGCAAACAGG
rnacentral:rRNA from 1 species